rnacentral:rRNA from 1 species
GAUGAACGCUGGCGGCGUGCCUAAUACAUGCAAGUCGAGCGAAUGGAUUAAGAGCUUGCUCUUAUGAAGUUAGCGGCGGACGGGUGAGUAACACGUGGGUAACCUGCCCAUAAGACUGGGAUAACUCCGGGAAACCGGGGCUAAUACCGGAUAACAUUUUGAACCGCAUGGUUCGAAAUUGAAAGGCGGCUUCGGCUGUCACUUAUGGAUGGACCCGCGUCGCAUUAGCUAGUUGGUGAGGUAACGGCUCACCAAGGCAACGAUGCGUAGCCGACCGGGGAGGGUGAUCGGCCACACUGGGACUGAGACACGGCCCAGACUCCUGCGGGAGGCAGCAGUAGGGAAUCUUCCGCAAUGGACGAAAGUCUGACGGAGCAACGCCGAGUGAGUGAUGAAGGCUUUCGGGUCGUAAAACUCUGUUGUUAGGGAAGAACAAGUGCUAGUUGAAUAAGCUGGCACCUUGACGGUACCUAACCAGAAAGCCACGGCUAACUACGUGCCAGCAGCCGCCGUAA